rnacentral:rRNA from 1 species
AUUGAACGCUGGCGGCAGGCCUAACACAUGCAAGUCGAACGAGUGGCGGACGGGUGAGUAAUGUCUGGGAAACUGCCUGAUGGAGGGGGAUAACUACUGGAAACGGUAUCUAAUACCGCAUACCAUCAGAUGUGCCCAGCGGGGAUUAGCUAGUUGGUGGGGUAACGGCUCAACAAGGCGACGAUCCCUAGCUGGUCUGAGAGGAUGACCAGCCAAACUGGAACGAGGACACGGUCCAAACUCCUACGGGAGGCAGCAGGGGGGAAGAUUGCACAUGGGGCGAAAGCCGGAUGAAGCCAUGCCGCGGGUAUGAAGAAGGCUUUCGGGUUGUAAAGUACUUUCAGCGGGGAGGCGUUACCCGCAGAAGAAGCCACGGCUAACUCCGUGCCAGCCGCCGCGGUAAUUC